rnacentral:tRNA from 1 species
GGAGGAGUGCAAGAGUGGUUUAUUUGGCCGGUUUCGAAAACCGAGCGGAUCGAAAGGUCCACAGAGGUUCAAAUCCUCUCUCCUCCG